rnacentral:rRNA from 1 species
GCAGCAGCCGCGGGAAUACGGAGGGAGCUAGCGUUGUUCGGAAUUACUGGGCGUAAAGCGCGCGUAGGCGGUUACUCAAGUCAGAGGUGAAAGCCCGGGGCUCAACCCCGGAACUGCCUUUGAAACUAGGUGACUAGAAUCUUGGAGAGGUCAGUGGAAUUCCGAGUGUAGAGGUGAAAUUCGUAGAUAUUCGGAAGAACACCAGUGGCGAAGGCGACUGACUGGACAAGUAUUGACGCUGAGGUGCGAAAGCGUGGGGAGCAAACAGGAUUAGAUACCCGCGUAGUCCCUGUCUCUUAUAC